rfam:Schistosoma mansoni, Puerto Rico, WGS project CABG01000000 data, contig: 0325
GCACUUCUGAAGAGUCCCAUAAUAGAACGAAAUGACCGUCCAGUGU